rnacentral:rRNA from 1 species
GACGAACGUUGGCGGCGUGCUUAAUACAUGCAAGUCCACUGAAGCAGUGGUAGCAAUAUCGCUGUGGAGGUGGCGCACGGGUGAGUAACACGUAGGUAAUCUGCCUUCAGGUCUGGCAUAACUCCGGGAAACCGGGGCUAAUAGCAGAUGAUGCAGCGGCUCGACAUCGAGACAGUUGUUAAAGCUAUGGCGCCUGAAGAUGAGCCUGCGUCUGAUUAGCUAGUUGGCGGGGUAACGGCCCACCAAGGCAACGAUCAGUAGCUGGUCUGAGAGGAUGAUCAGCCACACUGGAACUGAGACACAGUCCAGACUCCUACGGGAGGCAGCAGUAAGGAAUAUUGCUCAAUGGGAGAAAUCCUGAAGCAGCAACGCCGCGUGAGGGACGAAGGGCUUUUGCUUGUAAACCUCUGUAGUGAGAGAAAAAAAUCCCAAUCUUUGGGACAUGAUGGUAUCUCAAAAGUAAGCCCCGGCUAACUACGUG